UUCACGCCUCGCUUCCGCAAACGCAUCGCCUGUAAUCGCACGAAAAAAAGGAAUCAGGCAAUGCAUCCCCUCUAAUCACGCAUAUAGGCACCAUCCCCAUGAUUACCCACCCAGAAAUCGUGAAAAUUAGUCACCCUCAGAUAGGACCAUCCCCACUCUCGCUCCCCGCCCGCCGCCGCGCCGCCCAGGGAGCAGGAGCCGCCGCGCCCCCGGCCUCGUGCCGGGCCGCGCGCAGCAUGCCGCGCACCACGCCGUCGUCGUGCCCCGGCUCGCCGCCGCUCCUGUCUCGCCUCCCGCGCGCCUGCGCUCCCGUUUAAGGCCCCUCCCGCCCUGUCACGCUUCCCGGGCCUGCCACGCCGCGCGUCGGUGCCUCCGUUCCGCGCCCCGGUGCCUCUUCUCCAUGACGUGCUCCCUCAACAGCGAGAUCUCUAGCACCAUGCGUACGUGAGGAGGGCGUUGGAGAUAAUUCCUUCAUCUGAAUCCUCCACAUAAAAGGUAUACACGUUCUUUGAUUUAUAUAAACUUGGUCGUGUAUAAGAUCUGGAAGGACCAAUUUCAUCUUUCUUUGAUUUGAUAAACGAACAUAUAAGUGUAUGUAGAUCGGUGAAAGAUCCUGCUUGACGAUGUGUUUCUGCCUUUAAUAUAUUGCCACAUGCAAAUAGUUGAUUCCUGUAGAUAUGGAUUCAACUGUGAAAUAUCUGUUUCUCAAAAAAUGAUUGACUUCCAUUUGGCACUAUGUUAAAGUCCAAUUAUGCUAGCCAUGAGGAUGGGGGAGACUAAGAUGGAUGAACACCUGAGCCCAGAUUACUUUGCAGGUCAAUGCUCCACUAUUCUAUGUAUGUGACAGAUUUCAAGAAUACUGAGGUUUGAUGUACAUGUUUCAUUAGAUAGGAGACUCUUGCUUCUUUAUUUUAGGUUCCAGUCGAGUCAAUAUUGGUUGAUCUUGCUUCUUUAUUUCAGUGAAAUUAUUUCCAUUUGCAAUUGAAGAUACCCAGUGUGACUUUUCUGCCCUUUACGUACGUAGCUUGUGUCGUCUUUGAACCCAUUUUCCUAUUCAAAUGCCAAAUUACGUGCAGUAUAUAAAACAACUGCAGCAUGCUCAGGGUUUCAUGGUGAAGCAAAUGUGAAUUACUGGUUCUCCUAUCAUUUCAUUUUUUAUUGGAAACGGUGAGGAUGAUAGUUCCUAAUUCGAGCUGAUGCAUCUUACAAUCCCAAAAGAGCUCUUUUUGUGGAAGUCAUGAACCUUGCAUCUUACCAUUUUGAUUUCUAAUUUGUUAAAAUCUGGACCUUUAUUGUCUCAUUGACUCAUUUGAAACAGUGAUGCGCCGCUCCUCUCCCACCGGGACCCUUGACGCCGGCAGCACCUCCCAUCUCUAUAUGCUGAUUUCUCAAUUGGUUCCUUUAAUAUUGGUUGGAGGAUUGGGGUGGCUUUCUUUUUAUUGAUUGAAGAACUGGUGGAUUCUCCCGACGCUUGUGCGUGCUAAUUAUGUCUGUUCUUGCUCAUUGGCAUGGUCAGAAACCGGAGUCAUGGAGACUUACUUGUCACACUAUCAUAUGGAACAAGGAAAAUUCCUGCAAGGCAUGAUUUCACUAACCUUUGGUACCACUAAUAGUUGUAUUAUAAGUAUGUUUCAGGAAAAAAAAUCAGGUUGUUUUCCAAUGUGGAAGAAAUAAUUGCACAGUUAACCGGCACAUUUGAUGUACUAGCAGAAUGUGAUCCAAUUGUACCUCCUGCUAUGUGGUGUUGCCAUGCACACAUGUCCUGCCUUGUUGCCAUAGGCACCGGUUCCUGACAGUUUCCAAGUUUUCUUUGUGUCUUCACUAGCAUUGCUAGACUUAUUUGCUCAAAAGAUGAACACAUCAAAGAGCAUGUAUACUACUGAUACCAGUAUCUUUAAGGAUGGAUAAUCUCUUCUUCGCAUCCCUAUUAUUCCCCUGUAUGAUUGGACUUUAUAGUAGAAUUAUUUGUGCGUGAGUUUGUAUUUUUAAGACCGUUCUUGGGAAUCCAUGGUAAAUUGUAAAUUGUUCUGAACUGUCGGCAUAGAAUAGAUCCAAGCCAAACGGCCGCCAUCAUUUGUAAUUAUUUGGAUAAAAAGACAAAAGUUUUCUUUCUUUCAUGUUUGUAAA